AGAGUUUGAUCCUGGCUCAGGACGAACGCUGGCGGCGCGCCUAACACAUGCAAGUCGAACGAGCGAGAGAGAGGUUGCUUUCUCGAGCGAGUGGCGAACGGGUGAGUAACGCGUGAGGAACCUGCCUCAAAGAGGGGGACAACAGUUGGAAACGACUGCUAAUACCGCAUAAGCCCACGGGUCGGCAUCGACCAGAGGGAAAAGGAGCAAUCCGCUUUGAGAUGGCCUCGCGUCCGAUUAGCUAGUUGGUGAGGUAACGGCCCACCAAGGCGACGAUCGGUAGCCGGACUGAGAGGUUGAACGGCCACAUUGGGACUGAGACACGGCCCAGACUCCUACGGGAGGCAGCAGUGGGGAAUAUUGCACAAUGGGGGAAACCCUGAUGCAGCGACGCCGCGUGGAGGAAGAAGGUCUUCGGAUUGUAAACUCCUGUUGUUGAGGAAGAUAAUGACGGUACUCAACAAGGAAGUGACGGCUAACUACGUGCCAGCCCCGGUAAAACGUAGGUCACAAGCGUUGUCCGGAAUUACUGGGUGUAAAGGGAGCGCAGGCGGGAAGACAAGUUGGAAGUGAAAUCCAUGGGCUUAACCCAUGAACUGCUUUCAAAACUGUUUUUCUUGAGUAGUGCAGAGGUAGGCGGAAUUCCCGGUGUAGCGGUGGAAUGCGUAGAUAUCGGGAGGAACACCAGUGGCGAAGGCGGCCUACUGGGCACCAACUGACGCUGAGGCUCGAAAGUGUGGGUAGCAAACAGGAUUAGAUACCCUGGUAGUCCACACCGUAAACGAUGAUUACUAGGUGUUGGAGGAUUGACCCCUUCAGUGCCGCAGUUAACACAAUAAGUAAUCCACCUGGGGAGUACGACCGCAAGGUUGAAACUCAAAGGAAUUGACGGGGGCCCGCACAAGCAGUGGAGUAUGUGGUUUAAUUCGACGCAACGCGAAGAACCUUACCAAGUCUUGACAUCCUGUGACAGACGUAGAAAUACGUUCUUCCUUCGGGACACAGAGACAGGUGGUGCAUGGUUGUCGUCAGCUCGUGUCGUGAGAUGUUGGGUUAAGUCCCGCAACGAGCGCAACCCUUAUGGUCAGUUACUACGCAAGAGGACUCUGGCCAGACUGCCGUUGACAAAACGGAGGAAGGUGGGGAUGACGUCAAAUCAUCAUGCCCUUUAUGACUUGGGCUACACACGUACUACAAUGGCGUUAAACAAAGAGAAGCAAGACCGCGAGGUGGAGCAAAACUCAGAAACAACGUCCCAGUUCGGACUGCAGGCUGCAACUCGCCUGCACGAAGUCGGAAUUGCUAGUAAUCGUGGAUCAGCAUGCCACGGUGAAUACGUUCCC
rnacentral:rRNA from 1 species